ACCUCGGUAGUGUAACGGAUAGGCACAGCAGAGCAGAUAUCUGUUGGUGUGAGUUCGAGUCCUGCCUGAGGUU
rnacentral:tRNA from 1 species